rnacentral:lncRNA from 1 species
CCUAACAUGACCAAUUGCACUGUCAGAAAGUUCUGUGUCUCCUGAUUUUGUAGCUCAUAGCAGUUUUAAUAUUGGUCCUAUUCUGGUUUCUCUCAAGUCUCAACUGAUAACAGCAACGAAAGCUUUUUCUUCUUAGGUGGGGUUCAAUACCUGGUUUUUUAUUUCCCCCUUGAUUUCAACAAAAAUGUGAACAAAUGGACAUUAUCGAAUGCGGAUCGCGAACUAUGGAGGAAAACGGAAAAUCUGCUAUAAAAUGCCUUGGUAUUGCCAUCCUUCACAAACUGGCUUUGUCUGUUGUAAAAACUUCUGUCACCCCAGUCUGACACUGCGGAUAUUUGACAUACACUGCAUUGUCCUGCUUAUGAUUUUGCGCUCUAUGGCAAUGUAGUCACGAUCAAGUGCUAGCUCGUAGGAUCGUACAUCUUGCAAGAGUUUUGUGGUCAAGAUCACAAUUUUCUGGUGGGAUCGUGGAAAGACACUAAAUUCGGGUGCUUUUUUCUCUUUAACUUCUAUACUGCUAUUAGUUGUGGAUUUUGCUUUCCGGGCCAAAUGUUCUAGAGCAAUAUUGAUAUGCAUUCUCAUUUUACUUUCUCUUUUGUAACAAUCUUUUCAUACAAUUUUUAUAAGCUAAAAUAACUUUAUUUUGCUGGUUAAACGAAAACUACAUAGUAAAUAACAU